rnacentral:lncRNA from 1 species
UUUGAAUACUGACAACUUGAUGUAUUUUGCAGUAUAUUUUUUUUAUGUAUAUAGGUAUAUAGAGUCUGUCAAUUUCCCAUUUUGAGGCACCAUAGAGAUGAAGAUAUUGUAAUUUAAGUUGUAGUCUUGAUAAUUUUGAAGUGUAUGGCUUAUCAUGUAUUGAUCUGGAGGUUGGCAAGAAUUUAUUUAUUUUGUGUAGCACUUUUUUUCCAGCCUGUAUCAUAAGUAACUGUCUUUCAUAAGUGUGUGCAAUACAUAUAGACAGUAUUAGUUGUACUCAUUCUGUGAAUUUUCAAGUCUCAUUUUAGAAAAGUAUAUUUAAUUUAUUGUCAUAACUUUUGUUUGUACAUAAAUUGCAAUCAUUACAAUAUUGUUUCUUAAAUUAAUCCAGUUGAAAUUUGUAAAACAAAAUCCUUAUAUACAGAUAGCUUUAUUUUUUAGUGAUUUUUCCCUGCCUUUAUUAAAAUGAUUGUUUUUAUUCACUGUAUGAUAUAGAUUCUGUAAUAUUAUUAUUUGAUUAAGUAUUUCCCUUUCAAUUUCUACGACAAGGGGGCAAUGGUAUUGUUACCUUUCUGUCUUUUAUAGACUAUACCAUCUUUUCACAGAAUGUAAUGUAGCACUAGAAAAAAAAAUCUUGAAUAAUGUCAUUUUCUGUCUCCUUUAAAUAUUUUUUGCUUCCUUAGAUAAUCAUUUCUUUGUUUCCAUCCCACUAAAGUAUUCUGAGAUUAAAUAACCUCGACAUUCUGUGAAACAUAUACAAAUGAUGUUUUACUUUAACAACAUAUAAUCCAAAUAGACAUAUAAAACUAUUUUUACCAUACCACAUUUUGUGCCUAUACCUUUAGUAAUAUUACCUAGGUCAAAUGUUGUUUGUUAUUGUUUAUCUGUGUAAGUCUAUUUUGUUGGAGGAGUCAGUUGUAAGGGGUUGGGUCGAGUCUGUAGUUAGGGGUAGGAUGGAGUCUGUUGUUAGGGGUAGGGAAGAUAUUGUUGUUAGGGGUUGGGAAGAGAUUUUUGUGAGGGGUUGGGAAGAGUCUGUUGUUAGGGGUUGAGAAGAGUCUGUUGUUAGGGUCUUAUUCAUUAUACCAUUUGUGUGAACCAUGAGCUGAUCUUAUUCAUUCUACCAUUUGUGUGAACCAUGAGCUGAUCUUAUUCAUUCUCCCAUUCUGGUGAACCA